AAUAUUUGGAUGUUUUAUUUUCUUUAAAUCAAGCAGGUUACAUUUCAUUCAUUUUUACACAAUCUGAUAUUUGGAGGCAUUUGCAAAUAUGCUCAUAAAUUACAUGAUUUGUAAUCCCAAAGAAUGAGGUGGUUAAUGAUCAAUAUUGGGAUCAACAGUGAUCACCCUACUAAUGUACGCAUUACGUAUGCAGGAAGAAAAAGAAAAGUUCCCAUUAAGGUCUCAUGUGAAACACCACAGGUCUGAAAUACUCAGGAACACAUGAAAAUGGCACAAAAAUGAAUUUCACUCUCCAACCUUUUGCUAAAGAGACGUUGACCGGCCCACAGAGAGCCUGGAGCUCACGGGACAACAUUCACACACAUUCUGCUUCAUGAAGAGGUCAGAUUAUCGUCAGACCAUAGACAUUACAUGUAAGGACACUGAACAUUUGGCCGGAUUACACAUAGAAAUGCAAUCCAAAACAAAAUGGGUAAAGAUAAAGCAUGUUUAUUGAUGCGGCAAACAAAGGUUCAAAUAUCCUCCAAAGCACUUCAAGCCCUCAAAAGAAUGAAACUCAAAACGCAGAUGAGGUAAAAGAAGAAACUUCUAAAUUAAAGUGGAGCGACCCAGGGACAAGUCUGGUUUGGGUUAAAGAUUAUGGAUGGUUAACUUUGUGUAACGUGUUUGGACAAGCAAGUUUAGGUUUUAGGCAAGCGACUUCAGGUAUUAGGCAAGCGAGUUUAGCCAAGCGAGUACAGGCAAGCGAGUCAAGCUAAGCGAGUUUAGGUUUUAUGCAAGCGAGUUUAGGUUUUAUGCAAGCGAGUUUAGCCAAGCGAGUACAGGCAAGCGAGUCAAGCUAAGCGAGUUUAGGUUUUAUGCAAGCGAGUUUAGGUAAGAGAGUCAAGUUACUUUAGGCCUCACUUUAUUUGCGGUUAAAUUGCGGCAUUAGGUUUAGAAAGAAGGUUAAGAUCCAGGCUCAGGUUUGCUUCCAGCCUCGUCCCUCUAGUCGCUCCCUAUAAAGAGGGUUCCCAGCUACCGUGUUAAAAUACAACAGCUGGGAUUACAGAUAUGGAGUACAGAAAUAA